UACGUAGGGGGCGAGCGUUGUCCGGAUUCAUUGGGCGUAAAGCGCGCGUAGGUGGCCACAUAAGUCCGUUGUGAAAGUCAAAGGCUCAACCUUUGAAAGCCGAUGGAUACUGUGUGGCUAGAGUACGGAAGAGGCGAGUGGAAUUCCUGGUGUAGCGGUGGAAUGCGCAGAUAUCAGGAGGAACACCAAUAGCGAAGGCAGCUCGCUGGGACGUUACUGACACUGAGGCGCGAAAGCGUGGGGAGCGAACAGG
rnacentral:rRNA from 1 species